ensembl:antisense BC048644 cDNA sequence BC048644
AAGUCUGUUAGAGCACGUGGAGCGUUAAGAUCCUGAAACUGAGGACUACUGAUGUGUUUAACGCGGCGUGACUACUGAUGGGUUUAUCGCGGCGUGUUUCACAAGAUCCGAAUGUUGUACGCGGGUGGAGAGUCGACUCACACCUCCUCACAAGUCCUGUGCAGGAUGUCAGGGCCGAUUGACUUCAUCCUGAGAUUAAGACCUCAUCUUGGUCCGAUCAAGCCGGAAGGACGAGCGAAGUUUGCGGUCCCUGAGGGGCUGGAGCGGGCGGUAGUUGUUCACCAUCACAUCCUCUUCCUCACCUCGCCCGGAGAACAAGAGUGUGCGGAACGUGGAUAGCUGGAACGGAGAACAGCCGCGGUGAGCUGACACAGGCACAGAGAGAUCCACGUGCCGGGUGACCCCUCCCACACUGACCAACAGAACUCAGUAUAAUGAACCCGUGACUCCGCGAAGUCCAAGGGAUCACUAAAGGCACAGUGGCCACCACUCCAUUGGGUUUGGAGAGCCCAUAGACACGAGGGGAACCCAGUGGUUCCAAUGAACCAAGAGGGAACUGAGGCCCAGCCAACAGCCAGCACCUACUUGCCAGCCACUGAGUGAGCCACUAGGUAGGGAAGGAAUCCCCUGGGUAUGUGCCAUGAUAUACAUCUUUCUGUUAAUGUAUACAUUUACACCCCACCCCCAAUGAACUGUGAUGAGAUGGACAGGAACUCAUCGGGGCCAAUUAACCACUUUCUUUUUUCCUGAGAAAGAAAACGACCUUUCCCUGAGGGGAACAGAAAGGUCCCAUCGAGACUUGUUCUUAUACAGAUGGGCCUUCUCAGGCACAGCCUGGCUGAGCUGUUGAACUCAGGACAAUGUUCACACCUGGACCUUAGGGAAUAUGACGUAUGCUGGCUUCACACAUGAUGUAUGCCGCUUCAUACGUGACGUAUGGUACCUCAAAAUAUUAUCAUGGGGCCUUGCACUCGGUGACUCUCAUGCAAACAGAAAACCCUUCUAGCAGUUCGGGAACACCUCAAAUACUCCAGCGGGGCCAGGGAGGCAUGGCACAGUCGGUAUCCUGCUUGAGUUUGAGCCUAGCAUGCAUGGUGGUGCGCUCUUGCAAUCCUAGCUUAGCAUGCAUGGUGGUGCGCUCUUGCAAUCCCAGCCUAGCAUGCAUGAUGGUGCGCUCUUGCAAUCCCAGCCUAGCAUGCAUGGUGGUGCGCUCUUGCAAUCCCAGCCUAGCAUGCAUGGUGGUGCGCUCUUGCAAUCCCAGCCUAGCAUGCAUGGUGGUGCGCUCUUGCAAUCCCAGCACUGGGGAGGCGGAGCCAGGGGAACCUGGUGCUUAGUAGUCAGCAAGCCUAGCCUCGUGGGUGAGUUUCAGGUCAAUGAGACACCCUGUCACAAAGCACAAGACGAGUGGUACCCAGAGAGUGACAGCCAGGACUUGACUUGAGACCUCCACAACACAAACAUGGGUGGACCAGAAAAUGGAGUCCAGCAAUGCCCUACCAUGACACCUCAAUGAAGAGGCAGGUAAAAAUGACCUCUCUUGGGGCUGUGACACAGCUGGAGUGCUCACCUGGCUCGGGGACACCUCAACAGGCGUCUUCUGCACAAUCCAGGUGACUGACUCAGCAAGUGGCGGGGUGGUGAGGGAGCCAGGGUAGGUCCAGUAAUCCCGGCAGGCAGGCAGCAGACAAGAGGGGUCAAAGGGUCCCAUGGCCACCUGUGUAUCCUGACAACGAGAACCACAGCCCCAACAAUCAGGGGGUCUGUCAUAUAUGGGGGCCUUUCCGUCUUACCACAGCUUUGAUGGCCAAACGAGUGUUCUGGACACAGGUCAUUGUCAUAUGUGGAAACAUAAAGAAAAGGUGACUCUUCUUUACAAAAAAGGGACUCUUACCAAAUGGUUGUAUUUCCCCUGAAAGUUAUGCCUUCCUAUAUACCUUGGCUGAGAAGAUGUGUUGGUACAUAUAUAUGGGGGUACCAUUUUUGACAUUUUAAAAAUAUUUAUUGAAUG